AGACCACGUGGGGCUGCUCAUUUUGCUUUCACUUUGUCUUCUCUUGGGCAAAGUGUCCACCACCUUUUCCAUAUUGCUGUCAUUUCCCUUUCUCUCUCUCUUUGGCCACCAUUGAAGUUCAAGUUUUGAGCUUUACUCAGAUGAUCCCUCAUUCGUCCAGAGAUUCACGAAUAAGAUCAUGAGGUAGAACUAUAAAAAAGAUCAUUUUUAUAGCAGUAAUGGUUUACUUGCAGAUUGUGCAAAAUUUAAUUUAGAUUAUAUAGCUCGGUCCAGACUUAGACAGCUAAGCUCAGGUUGAUGGUCGGGCUGGGACACUUUCAAACGAAAUUCAGGCUAGGCCUGGGCAAUUCUCCAACCGUGCCAACCUACCCAAGUUGCACCCCUUAUUGGAGGUGUCAGAUUUUCAAUGUUUAGAUAUUAUUUGAGGGAAAACAUAGCACAGAGCUUGGUUUGGCUUAGUGGUUAUGAUGUUGAGAAUAUUCAUUGAGUUCUAAAAAUUACAAUUUGGCCCAAAAUUUUUAGACAAUUGUGCAGUGGCCCAAAUUUCGGAAGAAUUUUCAGUGAGGCCUCCAGAAGCGCAGCGAAGGUUAAUCCUAGUUACAUGGACCGUUCCGAACGCAACCACGAGAGCUAUUAUCACAGAGGGUGUACUAUCUGCAACUAUUCAGUUACAUCAAGAUGAAGAGGGUUCUUCGUUCAAUGCCAAAAGAAAAAGGAAGCUCUGAUCUGAAGAGAAAGAAAAAAGAAGUGAGGACAACAGUCUGCGAAGGCUAACGGAGAAGCAGCCCAUCCCCCGACGAUCCCCCCAACUGCAGUUGCAUGGCGUCACAUCGAUCUACGCCUCGUACCCCUUCCGGCAAAGCAAUUUGGGAUGGGGAGUCGACACGGAUUUUCUUGGAACUGGUUGUGAAGGAAAUUGAGGCAGGAAACUGGCCACACAUGUCAAUCACUCCAAACGGGUACCGUUCGUUGUCUAAGACAUUUGAGGCAGUAACUAGGCGGCUGCAUUCCCUCAAACAACUUAAAAACAAGUAUAUGCUAUUGAAGACCGAGUGGCGUGCGUGGUGUAAGCUAAUGGAUUGCCGAAAAAGCCCAACUGGAAUUGGCUUUGACCAAGUUACUGGGCUGUUCAAUGCUUCGGCUGAUUGGUGGGCUAAAAUGGAAAAGAUUGACAAUGUAUGUUGCAAGUUCAGAACCAAAACCUUGGACCAUCCGGAUUUGAUGGAGCACGUCUUCACUGGCGCUGCGGCUAUGGGAAAAAAUGCAUGGACACCCGGUGAGACUUGUAACCCAAUGGAGUUGGAUGGAGAGUCGUACAGUCCAUAAUUUUCAUGUGACAGCAAUGAAUUAGGUGCAUCGGAAAUGGCGGCCAUGAUGAACUUCGCGCACAUCAAUGCCACGGGUAGUGGAAGUAAGCGGAAGCAUUCCUCGGGGAAACAGGGCAAAACAAGCGCAUUACGGGGGCUGCAGCGUGGACGAGUUGCUAAAUUCUGUGAAGACUCAGAGCAAGGAAUUAACUGUCAACCACGUCGUCGGGGGCCAUAGUAUUACUAUAGGACAGGCUGUUGGACGGCUGUAUGAAAUACAGGGACUAGAGCUUGAAGAUGAACUUCUCUAUUUUGGUGUCAUCCUUAUGGAGGUUCUGAACAAUCGGGAAAUGGUAAUGAGUAUUCCCAUAGACCGAGGCAUUAUCGGGUGGCUACAAGCGAAGAAACAAGACAAAGAUAGGAAUGUGGGUGUCACUCUUGCGAGUUUGCUGCGGAAUGAAGGAGUUCGAUUUUAAAUCUGUUGAAUGAAGGACUUUGAUUUUAAUUUCAGUUGAAUUCUGAUCUUUUUUUUUCCUUUGUUGUGUUUAUUUAGUUGAAUUGUGGUUUGAAGAUGGUUUGGGCAUGGGUUAUGCUUGUGGCGUACGGAACCUUAACUGGACAAUCAGGAUAUG